rnacentral:rRNA from 1 species
CACAGAGUGGGCGAGCGUUACCCAUCCUAACUGGGCGUAAAGGGUGUGUAGGCGGAUGUUAAUGAGAUGGCUGGACAAAAUUUCUGUAAUUAGAUAGUAUUUUCCAGCAGCUGGCAUCUUUUGAGAUAUAGAGAGGUUUUUAGUAUACGUGGUGUAUUUGAUUUAGGAAAUUGCCGAUCUCACGGGGACUACCAAUCGCGAAGGCAUUUGACCAACUAUAAUCUGACGCUAAAGGCACGAAAUCGUGGGGAGCAAAAGGG